AAAAGAAGGAGUAGCCCUAUGCAGCCAAUUAGCAAAUUCUUGAGAUUAUGGCUAUCCUCCCCAUGAAUGAGUAGCAGGAAAUUGUGCUGGAAAGAAUUCCGAAAGCAGCCCAAGUCCACCGGACCAAGUGAAUCUACUAGCGAAGUCACCUUGCACACCUCGACCAUCAUGCUCAGAGGAGAAACGCAUUAGAGUUGACGUGUUAGGGCCACAGUAGUCUCGAUUAAACCGGUAGAAGCAUCGUUACACCAAAUGACCAAAGCAACCGCAUAUUUGACACUAUGUUUGUGAUCGAAAACCAGCCCACUCGAGUCUGCCACAGAACACCCGCCACGUGUCUCUUGCCGAUUUGAGUCGGCCAUCGUAGCAACCAAAUGAGUUUCAACGAGAUCAGUAUGCAUCGAAACCUCACGCUCCGCUCGAGUCUGUUGACUUUCAAACUCCAUGAGAAUGUCGACUAAGCGUUGGAACGGAAGAGGCUCAGUCGAGAAGGAGGCUAAGGUCAACACUGCAUCAAAAUCCGUUGAUAGACCGACCAAAAUAACUUCCACCUUUUCGGCCUCCGAAACCGCCGAUCCAAACGCUGCAAGAAGUGCACAAAUACAUAUUUUUUAUUUUUGCGAUAUAUUCUUUUAUAGAUAAAUCACCUUUCUUUGUAGAGUGCAGGUCAUGCUUAAUACGAGAAAGUUUCGCACCAGUUGAAGCGGCGAACAGACAGUUCGCUGUGCUCCAUAUUUCACAUGUAGAUUUAGCAGAGACGCAUCUAGAUUUGGAGUAAGGACACCGUCUGGAGAUGUGACGAACCUAGGCGGAGCAGAGGUAGAAUCAUCUUAUGGCGCCAUGAUGCAGAAGCGGGAGCAGGUACCAGGACUAGGCGACUGAUACCAUAUUAGAUACUACAUAAUUUUAACAGAAUAGAGAACUAUUUAGAGAAAAGAAUUUUUUUUACUUAGAAACUACUUAGUAUUAUUUCCUUACUUUGAAUCAAUGCACAGCUAGUAUUUAUACAUGAAUAAAA